AUACGUAGGGAGCGAGCGUUGUCCGGAAUUACUGGGUGUAAAGGGUGCGUAGGCGGGGAUGCAAGUCAGAUGUGAAAUGUAUGGGCUCAACCCAUGAACUGCAUUUGAAACUGCAACUCUUGAGUGAGGUAGAGGUAAGCGGAAUUCCUAGUGUAGCGGUGAAAUGCGUAGAUAUUAGGAGGAACAUCGGUGGCGAAGGCGGCUUACUGGGCCUUUACUGACGCUGAGGCACGAAAGCGUGGGGAGCAAACAGGAUUAGAUACCCUGGUAGUCCACGCUGUAAACGAUGAUGACUAGGUGUGGGGGGACUGAACCCUUCCGUGCCGCAGUUAACACAAUAAGUCAUCCACCUGGGGAGUACGACCGCAAGGUUGAAACUCAAAGGAAUCGACGGGG
rnacentral:rRNA from 1 species